CGAUGACUGUUCCUCCUGCUGCCUAAGUUCUGGCUUCAGGAUUUUAUGUUAUCGGAGAUGAAACGUGACUUUCUUCACUCGAAGCGCACUGGGACAGCCGGAAUUGUCCAUCUGCGUUUUGAAUUUUGCGGAGUCAGACAUGC